CACGUAGGGAGCAAGCGUUGUCCGGAUUUAUUGGGCGUAAAGAGCUCGUAGGUGGUUCGGUAAGUCAGGUGUGAAACCUCCAGGCUCAACCUGGAGACGCCACUUGAUACUGCUGUGACUGGAGUCCGGUAGGGGAGCGUGGAAUUCCUGGUGUAGCGGUGAAAUGCGCAGAUAUCAGGAGGAACACCGGUGGCGAAGGCGGGUCUCUGGGCCGAUAUCGACGCUGAGGAGCGAAAGCGUGGGGAGCGAACAGG
rnacentral:rRNA from 1 species